AUUGAACGCUGGCGGCAGGCCUAACACAUGCAAGUCGAGCGGAUGAGUGGAGCUUGCUCCAUGAUUCAGCGGCGGACGGGUGAGUAAUGCCUAGGAAUCUGCCUGGUAGUGGGGGACAACGUUUCGAAAGGAACGCUAAUACCGCAUACGUCCUACGGGAGAAAGCAGGGGACCUUCGGGCCUUGCGCUCUCAGAUGAGCCUAGGUCGGAUUAGCUAGUAGGUGAGGUAAUGGCUCACCUAGGCGACGAUCCGUAACUGGUCUGAGAGGAUGAUCAGUCACACUAGAACUGAGACACGGUCCAGACUCCUACGGGAGGCAGCAGUGGGGAAUAUUGGACAAUGGGCGAAAGCCUGAUCCAGCCAUGCCGCGUGUGUGAAGAAGGUCUUCGGAUUGUAAAGCACUUUAAGUUGGGAGGAAGGGCAGUAAGUUAAUACCUUGCUGUUUUGACGUUACCAACAGAAUAAGCACCGGCUAACUUCGUGCCAGCAGCCGCGGUAAAAC
rnacentral:rRNA from 1 species